CCUGCCUAAAAUGGAUUGUUUUAUUCUGUUUUUCUUUUUUAAUUAACAGCUUCCUCUACAUUCCUCAUUGUUUUACACACAUCUUUUUCCACAUCCCUUAUGUUCCCAGUAAUCUCCAAAUUGACAUGUGAUGACAUCUCCUGAAUUCCCUUAUUGCUCACUCCAUAACUUAAUAAACAGUCUGGGAAGUCUUGUUGCUAUUUUUGUAUUUUUCUCCACAGACUGCAAACAUAAUAUCCUACUUUUUUACCUGUCAGCUAAAUUUCACAAUGCUGAAGUGGACAACAAGAUAAAACAAAAACAUAAAGCAUCCCACCUAUGUUAUCAUGAUCUGUCCAGAGACGUAUAUGCUUUCCUUCAUCUUAAAACAGAGCUAAAAUCCCAACUUUAAGAGCCUGUUCUGUGUCUGCUCUUGUCUAGUGACAGCAGCUUCCUGUGUUUGUUAUUAGAGGUGGUUAGGAGGGGGCAGAGGCCAAUGACACCCCCCACAAAUGUCCUAAAACACACAUGGACCAGAACUCUGCACACACACGAACACACACACACACACACACACCAACAAGGAAUUCCACAGUCAGGAGAAAGAAGAAUGAUGAAAAAGCACGCUCUAGAAUGAGACAAAAAAACAUUAUGCAUAAAUAUUCUCCACAUAUGCAGUUUAUUGUAUUUCUAGUCCGCUUUGGCAUCUCUGUGCUUGUUUCACCAUCUCCAAGUGUCCUUUUUGGUGUCUCCAAAUGUCAUUUUGGGCAUCUCCAAGUGUCCUUUUGGGAAUUUCCAAGUGUCCCUUUGAGGAUCGCCAGGUGUCAUUUUGGGCAUCUCCAAGUGUCUCUUUCGGGGUCACCAAGUGUCAUUUUGGGUAUCUCCAAGUGUCCCUUUGGGCAUCUCCAAGUGUCAUUUUGGGCAUCUCCUAGUGUCCCUUUGGGGAUCACCAAGUGUCAUUUUGGGCAUCUCCUAGUGUCCCUUUGGGGAUCACCAAGUAUCAUUUUGGGCAUCUCCAAGUGUCCCUUUGGGGAUCACCAAAUGUACUUUUGGGCAUGUCCAAGUGUCAUUGUGGGAAUGUCCAAGUGUCAUUGUGGGAAUGUCCAAGUGUCAUUUUGGGCAUGUCCAAGUGUCAUUUUGGGCAUCUCCAAGUGUCCCUUUGGGGAUCACCAAAUGUACUUUUGGGAAUGUCCAAGUGUCAUUGUGGGAAUGUCCAAGUGUCAUUGUGGGAAUGUCCAAGUGUCAUUUUGGGCAUGUCCAAGUGCUAUUUUGGGCAUCUCCAAGUGUCCCUUUGGGGAUCUCCAAGUUUCAGUUUGUGCAUCUCCAAGUGUCCUUUUGGGCAUCUCCAAGGGGCCCUUUGGGCAUCUCCAAGUGUCAUUUUGGGCAUCUCCAAGUGUCCUUUUUGGCAUCUCUAAUGGUCCCUUUGGGGAUUACCAUAUGUCCUUUUGGGCAUCUCCUAGUGCCAUUUCAGGCAUCUCCAUUUGUCAUUUUGGGCAUCUCCAAGUGUCCCUUUGGGGAUCACCAAAUAUCCCUUUGGGGAUCACCAAUUGUCCCUUUGGGGAUCACCAAGUGUCCCCUUGUGGAUCUACAAGUAUGCUUUUUGGUAUCUCCAAGUGUCUUUUUGGGCAUCUCUCAGUAACCUAUUGGGCCUGUCCAAAUGUCUCUUUGGGUGUCUCCAGAAAAUCUUUUAAGUAUCUCCAGGUGUCCCUAAGUGGAUCUCCAAAUGUUCUUUUGGACAUCUCCAUGUGUCCUUUUGGGCAUCUUCAAUCGUCCCUUUGGGCAUCUCCACAUGUCUCUUUGGGAGACUCUAAGAACCCUUUGAGUAGAGCUGUGCAAUAUAGAAAAAAAUUGACACUGCAAUUUUUUUAACGAUAUAUAUUGCGAUAUUAAACAAUGCAGGACCCGUGGCAUCACCAGCCCCGCCUCUUCUGCGAGCUGUCUCACGUCAGAGAUCUGGACCAAGAGUUGAUGUGACUAUUGUGCAUGCACUCAUCGUGAUGACGAUGCUUAAACGAUAUAUCAUGCAGCCCUACUUUUGAGCAUGUCCAAAUGUUUCUCAUUGGAUCCAGGUGUCCUUUUGGGUAUUUU
rnacentral:lncRNA from 1 species